rnacentral:rRNA from 1 species
GACGAACGCUGGCGGCAUGCCUAACACAUGAAAGUCGAACGAGAGCUUCGGCUCUAGUGGCGCACGGGUGCGUAACGCGUGGGAAUCUGCCCUUGGGUUCGGAAUAACAGUUGGAAACGACUGCUAAUACCGGAUGAAGUCGAUAAGACCAAAGAUUUAUCGCCCGAGGAUGAGCCCGCGUCGGAUUAGCUAGUUGGUGGGGUAAAGGCCUACCAAGGCGACGAUCCGUAGCUGGUCUGAGAGGAUGAUCAGCCACACUGGGACUGAGACACGGCCCAGACUACUACGGGAGGCAGCAGUGGGGAAUAUUGGACAAUGGGCGCAAGCCUGAUCCAGCAAUGCCGCGUGAGUGAUGAAGACCUUAGGGUUGUAAAGCUCUUUUACCCGGGAAGAUAAUGACUGUACCGGGAGAAUAAGCCCCGGCUAACUCCGUGCCAGCCGCCGCGGUAACAC